rnacentral:rRNA from 1 species
UACAGAGGGUGCAAGCGUUAAUCGGAAUUACUGGGCGUAAAGGGCGCGCAGGCGGCUCAUUUUGUCAGGCGUGAAAGCCCCGGGCUUAACCUGGGAACUGCGUUUGAUACGGAUGGGCUAGAGUUCGGGAGAGGAGAGUGGAAUUCCCAGUGUAGAGGUGAAAUUCGUAGAUAUUGGGAAGAACACCGGUGGCGAAGGCGGCUCUCUAGACCGAUACUGACGCUGAGGCGCGAAAGCGUGGGGAGCAAACAGG